GGGCAACCUGUAGUCUAGUGGCUAAGAUACAUGGCUGGAGUUCCUGAAGUCAGGGGUUCAAGUCCCAGUCUUGCUCC